UACGGAGGGUGCGAGCGUUGUCCGGAAUCAUUGGGCGUAAAGGGCGCGUAGGUGGCCCGGUCAGUUCGUGGUGAAAGCGCGGGGCUCAACCCUGCGUCGGCCAUGAAUACUGCCGCGGCUGGAGCACUGUAGAGGCAGGCGGAAUUCCGGGUGUAGCGGUGGAAUGCGUAGAGAUCAGGAAGAACACCGAUGGCGAAGGCAGUGGGCUGGGCCGGUACUGACGCUGAGGAGCGAAAGCGUGGGGAGCAAACAGG
rnacentral:rRNA from 1 species